rnacentral:tRNA from 1 species
GGUAGGGUGGCCGAAGGCUUAGGCGGUGGGUUGUAGCCCCGAAUAUAAAGGUUUAAUUCCUUUUCCUAUCA